AAGCACUUUUCAUCUCUGAGUUCGACAGGAAAGAGGGCGUGGGGUUCUAUGGCGCAGUCGUCAGAGCAAGCACUUUUCAUCUCUGAGUUCGACAGGAAAGAGGGCGUGGGGUUCUAUGGCGCAGUCGUCAGAGCAAGCACUUUUCAUCUCUGAGUUCGACAGGAAAGAGGGUGUGGGGUUCGGUAGCGCAGUCGUCAGAGCAAGCACUUUUCAUCUCUGAGUUCGACAGGAAAGAGGGCGUGGGGGUUCGGUGGUGCAGUCGUCAGAGCAAGCACUUUUCAUCUCUGAGUUCGACAGGAAAGAGGGCGUGGGGGUUCGGUGGUGCAGUCGUCAGAGCAAGCACUUUUCAUCUCUGAGUUCGACAGGAAAGAGGGUGUGGGGUUCGGUGGCGCAGUCGUCAGAGAAGCACUUUUCAUCUCUGAGUUUGACAGGAAAGAGGGCGUGGGGGUUCGGUAGCGCAGUCGUCAGAGCAAGCACUUUUCAUCUCUGAGUUCGACAGGAAAGAGGGCGUGGGGGUUCGGUAGCGCAGUCGUCAGAGCAAGCACUUUUCAUCUCUGAGUUCGACAGGAAAGAGGGC
rnacentral:lncRNA from 1 species